ACUACAGUGUAAACACAAACAAAAGUGUACCACAGAAACAAGCUUUGCUUCAAGCUUUGGCACACCCAAGGCAGUCUUCACACAUGACAACUGUGUGUUCCAUGCACAAGUGUUGCUUACACUGAGAGUACAUAUGUCUUGUUUUCCUGUACUUUCUCAUAGGGCACUCUUGACAUCUUCCUUGUUUUCCUGUUGUUGCAGUAGGUCUUUGUGAUGCCGCACCUGCCUAUUCACCUGGCCGCUCACCAGUGUGCUCCACAAUCUUUUGGCAUAGUUCCUUGGGCAGAAUCAUUUUGCUUUUCCUCUGCUGUAAAUGAUCUUAUGAGCUCCAGUCCUGAUCCUCUAAGAAAAUUUCUCUGUGGUAUUUGGUACUUGCUAUUUCCUUUGUAAACUCUCAAGCUAUUUAAGCCACACGUGUUUAGGAUCAAAUAAAACACAGCCAUUGCCCAAUGUUUUGUGUUUCACGUGACAUCAUAUUUGCUGCAUAACUCAUCAAUGACAUCUACCCCACGUUCAGUUUUGUUAUUGAAAAUUUCCAUCUCAGGCUUCUGUUUUGUUGAGGUUUCUCUAUCAAUAUUUCCAUCAUGGUAAAAUGUGGACAUCAGCGGUAUGCUUUUCUUUGAAAAAAGCAGUUUGCUUUUCUUUGCCAUUUAUGAGGCCAAUGUUACGUCUUUCUGAUGUCAAAGAUUGUAAGAUAUAAUUCUCCAACUGUAAAUUGCAACACUUCAUUUGAAUUUUCUGCUUUGUUCCUGUGUAAGUUACUCUGCUGCUCAACUUGUGCUCUGUUAGCAAAUGGAACAUCAGUCAGAAACCAGUAAUCCAAUUGUCCAGUGUCACAUUCCAAUUAGUUUGGAAGAUAGGAACUACAGGUCUGUUCACAUCAUUUGGUUGAUUACUGUAUGAAUAAGGACCUGAUGAUGGCUGAGUUCCACGAUAAAUGUCUAAAUUGAAAGCAUCAUAAG